rnacentral:rRNA from 1 species
GACGAACGCUGGCGGCAUGCUUAACACAUGCAAGUCGAACGGAAAGGCCCUGCUUUUGUGGGGUGCUCGAGUGGCGAACGGGUGAGUAACACGUGAGUAACCUGCCCUUGACUUUGGGAUAACUUCAGGAAACUGGGGCUAAUACCGGAUAGGAGCUCCUGCUGCAUGGUGGGGGUUGGAAAGUUUCGGCGGUUGGGGAUGGACUCGCGGCUUAUCAGCUUGUUGGUGGGGUAGUGGCUUACCAAGGCUUUGACGGGUAGCCGGCCUGAGAGGGUGACCGGCCACAUUGGGACUGAGAUACGGCCCAGACUCCUACGGGAGGCAGCAGUGGGGAAUAUUGCACAAUGGGCGGAAGCCUGAUGCAGCAACGCCGCGUGCGGGAUGACGGCCUUCGGGUUGUAAACCGCUUUCGCCUGUGACGAGGCGUGAGUGACGGUAAUGGGUAAAGAAGCACCGGCUAACUACGUG